rnacentral:rRNA from 1 species
UACGAAGGGGGCUAGCGUUGCUCGGAAUCACUGGGCGUAAAGCGCACGUAGGCGGCUUUCUAAGUCAGGGGUGAAAUCCUGGAGCUCAACUCCAGAACUGCCUUUGAUACUGGAGAGCUUGAGUCCGGGAGAGGUGAGUGGAACUCCGAGUGUAGAGGUGAAAUUCGUAGAUAUUCGGAAGAACACCAGUGGCGAAGGCGGCUCACUGGCCCGGUAUUGACGCUGAUGCGCGAAAGCCAGGGGAGCAAACGGG